GCGCGGUGGUAUGACGUCGCGGACCAUACGAUUUGUGCGUUGGCGUCGAACAGCUUCAUGCGCACGUGGGAAUUCUUUUAUGCACCCGAUCACCCUUGUGUUUGGUGGGAUCUUAUAAUUCGCAAAGGUGCAGACGACACAACCCUAAUAAAAUACCAAACUGACAGAUUUCCUAACCUAAAUUGAAGCACGGUCUCGGGGACCAGCUGACCUGCCUGGGAUUCCUCUACUACUGCCUUACUAUUUCCCCUGGACAUCGGCUGUGGCAGGAAUAUCAAGUUGCACAUGUUGCAAUUAGUGGAUACCUGGGUAUCGUCAACGGUGACAGAAACAGAGCAUCUUAAUCUGACCAAUCAAAUCAUGUUUAGAAAAUAUUCAACUUCGCUCGGUUUGUUUACAUUCCCGAUAAUGGCGUCAGUUCCUAAAAAAAAGCAGAUGGCCAAAUCCGCCAAAGACCAUUAUCUUCUUGCGAAAAAAUGUUGUAAAAACGACCGUUUUUAUUUACCGACUGAAGAUACCUUAGAGAAUUAAAAAUUCAUUGAUGCGAGGUGGAAUAAUGUUUUAAAAGUGCAAGUGACACUCAAAGAAUGCAAGACUAUCUUAGGCUUAAGCGCAUUCCAUCAUUUCAAAAAAUUUGACAAUUAUCGUAUUGUUGUUGGGCAAACUUCGAAGUCUACGCUGCAUAAACUCACAAUUUCCCUUGCGGACCCGAAGUGUAUUUUCAGCACCUUACAACACAUAUACGUUUAAAACACAGGGAUCUGUACUCCGAAAGUGAUUUUGAAGAUUAAAAAAAAAAGUAUUGGGAUAUUAGUAUUAAUUUUAUAGAUAUAGAUGUUGAUAAGAAUGUACGUAGAAUUAACGU